AACCAACAGACUGGUGUGUCCCAGCCAUCUCUGGGUGCAUAUCUCUUUGAGUGGCUCACUCUCAAGCAUGACUAGAAGG
rnacentral:pre_miRNA from 1 species